rnacentral:rRNA from 1 species
AUUGAACGCUGGCGGCAGGCCUAACACAUGCAAGUCGAACGGUAACAGGAAGCAGCUUGCUGCUUCGCUGACGAGUGGCGGACGGGUGAGUAAUGUCUGGGAAACUGCCUGAUGGAGGGGGAUAACUACUGGAAACGGUAGCUAAUACCGCAUAACGUCGCCAGACCAAAGAGGGGGACCUUCGGGCCUCGUGCCCUCGGAUGUGCCCAGAUGGGAUUAGCUAGUAGGUGGGGUAACGGCUCACCUAGGCGACGACCCCUAGCUGGUCUGAGAGGAUGACCAGCCACACUGGAACUGAGACACGGUCCAGACUCCUACGGGAGGCAGCAGUGGGGAAUAUUGCACAAUGGGCGCAAGCCUGAUGCAGCCAUGCCGCGUGUAUGAAGAAGGCCUUCGGGUUGUAAAGUACUUUCAGCGGGGAGGAAGGCGACAGGGUUAAUAACCCUGCCGAUUGACGUUACCCGCAGAAGAAGCACCGGCUAACUCCGUGCCAGCCGCCGCAGUAAAAC